GGGUGUGAUCAUACCAGCGUUAAUGCACCGUAUCCCAUUGGAACUCUGUAGUUAAGUGUGCUUGGGCUAGAGUAGUACUGGGAUAGUUGAUGUCCCAGGAAAUUCUAGUGUUGCACCCU
rnacentral:rRNA from 1 species